rnacentral:tRNA from 3 species
GGAGAGAUGGCCGAGUGGCCGAAGGCGCACGCCUGGAAAGUGUGUAUACGGCAACGUAUCGAGGGUUCGAAUCCCUCUCUCUCCGCCA